GGCUUGAGGCAAUGCUGGGGCACUGUCUAGACUGUUUUUAGUCGAACGAAUCAACUCCUGUACUCGUGUUAUUUUUUUUUUUCGGAUAUUCUCUUUUUUUUAAUCUGAUUAAACCAACACGAAUUAAUGAUGGCAGUCAGACUAAGCUUUGAAUAAAGGAAAUUCAUUCUAAAAUGCUACUGGAAGUGUGAAAACGCAGUCAAAGUGCAAAGACAGUUUGAGAUGGAGUUUCAAAUAGAUCCACCAACGCGACUUAACAUCAUUCAAAUUAGAGAUAAGUUUGAAGCCGGUGGAACUGUUCAGAAUGUCCACGAAAAGCGUUCCGGAAGACCAUGAAUAUCGACAACCUGAACGAAGCAAGAAGGAGUGCUGGAAACGUAUCACUAAAGCCCAAGAAUAUCUGUGAGGUAAGCGAGUCGUGAGGGAGGUAUUUCAAAAUCGUCUGUCCAACGUAUUUUGAAGCGUUGUCAAUGGAAAAGUUACUUUCCAAGAUUAGUCCAUGCUAUUAAUGACGAUGAUCCAGACCGAAGAGUGUAGUAUUGCGAGAUACUUGGCACGAUGUGUAGAAGAUGCACACUUUCCAACAAAGAUUGUGUGGAGUGGUGAGGCUACAUUCAAAUUAAAUGGUUCAAUUGACCGCUACAAUUGCACCUACUAGGGCCUGACGAUCCGCAUGUUAUGGUGAAACACCACGUUAAUUUACCAGGAGUUACAGUGUAGUGUUGCCUAUCAUCAAGAGGACUAAUUGGACUAUUCUUUUUUGACGGUGCUGUGACUGGUCCCGUUUACUUGAAAUUACUGCAACAGUCUGUCAUGCCAAGCAUUGGAGAAGAGUUUUAUUUUCAGCAAGUUGGGGCACCGCAACACUACCAUCGCGAUGUUAGACCCGUCCUUGAUGGGAUCUUGCUAAACAGGUGGAUUGGAUGAAGGGGUUUCGUUGAAUACCUUCCGCGUUCACCAGACCUCACACCACUAGACAUUUUUUUAUGGGGAUACCUAAAAGACAAAGUCUACACUAUGAAACUUGCAACAGUCGCUGAUUUGAGAGUAGCCAUUGAACGAGAAUGCACACAAAUACCAAACGAAAUUGUUUCGUGAUGUUUGCGAUUCCAUUGCUUCGCGUUGACAGCAGUGCCUGGACCAAAACGGACAUCAGUUUGAAAACAGGCGUUGACAAAACAAUAAAUAAUGUCUGUAGAUUCUAUUAAAUUUUGAAAAUGAAAUGUAUUUUAAUAAACACCUACU